rnacentral:rRNA from 1 species
UACGUAGGAGGCAAGCGUUGUCCGGAUUUACUGGGCGUAAAGAGCGCGCAGGCGGUCGUUCAAGUCACGUGUGAAAGCCCCCGGCUCAACUGGGGAGGGUCACGCGAUACUGAUCGACUCGAAGGCAGGAGAGGGAAGUGGAAUUCCCGGUGUAGUGGUGAAAUGCGUAGAUAUCGGGAGGAACACCAGUGGCGAAGGCGACUUCCUGGCCUGUUCUUGACGCUGAGGCGCGAAAGCUAGGGGAGCAAACGGG